rnacentral:rRNA from 1 species
AACGAACGCUGGCGGCAUGCCUAACACAUGCAAGUCGAACGAGACCUUCGGGUCUAGUGGCGCACGGGUGCGUAACGCGUGGGAACCUGCCCUUAGGUUCGGAAUAACUCCCCGAAAGGGGUGCUAAUAUCGGAUAAUGUCUUCGGACCAAAGAUUUAUCGCCUUUGGAUGGGCCCGCGUUGGAUUAGCUAGUUGGUAGGGUAAAAGCCUACCAAGGCGACGAUCCAUAGCUGGUCUGAGAGGAUGAUCAGCCACACUGGGACUGAGACACGGCCCAGACUCCUACGGGAGGCAGCAGUGGGGAAUAUUGGACAAUGGGCGAAAGCCUGAUCCAGCAAUGCCGCGUGAGUGAUGAAGGCCUUAGGGUUGUAAAGCUCUUUUACCCGGGAUGAUAAUGACAGUACCGGGAGAAUAAGCCCCGGCUAACUCCGUG